GAUAGAGGAGCGAAGGAAUAUCAAAGUUGCGAUUGAGUGAACGAAAAUAAGAGUAGCCGAAGCCGCAUCCCAUCAGCGCUAUUUGGUUCUCGAGAUAGUGAAACGCUUAUGUGUAUAGAACCUUGAACGAAUACAAAAACAAGAGUUACAACUAGGCUUCCCAGCUACUUGGGUAUAAUCUCAACUAACGCUAUGAAUCAUUACGCCACACGCCAGCCGGAAGUCACAAUCAAUAGCCAUUGGAAUUCAUAAGCAUAAUUAGCAGUUGCAAACUAGAAGCUAUACCAGGAAAACCUUCAUCGCCUUUCACUAGGAAUCCAAGCAUCUUUAUCGCUAUGGAACCAAUGCCGUACCAGGAAGCCUACCGUAAUUGCAUUCUAUCGAUUUGAAUAAAUGGGGACAGCAGAGCAGUGACAGAGUUAGUUCCAGUUUGCAGUUCUAGUUUUGGUAGUGACACAUAACUAAUCUUAAUUCUUAACUCUUUCGGGCUGAAGGGGUCCGUUGAACGUUGCACAGUGGAAAAAAGAGGUGUAAAACGCGAAUAAAUUCAAUAUCUCUGGUCGGAGUGGGUAGACUUGGAUGAUUUUUGACACAAACUGCAAAAAUCUAUAGUUUUUGAUAAGGAGGGUAACAAUAGAGACGAACCAGCCAAGGGCUGAAAGUCUCUUUAAUAAAGACAAAUCAAUCAAUCAAGGAGGGUAACAUACGCCGCACGAUGCUGGAAAUCAGUGUAUUGAGCUCGUUUUACUCCGCUCUCCUUCGCCUAUUUUGGAAAAUCCUUAUCUAUUCCCGACUGGAGUGCAAAACAAAUGAAUUAUGUAUUUAACUCGUAUUUGUGUAAAAAACUUCCGUAGUAUCAAAUGGUUUGGUUCACCUCACGGCCUUAAAAAGUGAAAUAUUUUCAAAUCACCCCGAUAUGCCUUAUUUCUUUGAAAUUUUCAUAUGUAUCUCCGCCCCAAGGGGAAUGACAAAUCCUUUUCUAACCGGAAAAUCCGCAUUUAUCCGUUCCUAACCGUCGCUAACCGCUGCUAACUGAUAAAUGCGGAUUUUUUCGGUUAGCAAAGGAAGUGUCAUUCCCCCUGGUGUGUCUACAUCAUUUUGAUCAGUUGUCAGUUGCCCCAACGAACGAACACGAUUCGCUAAGGCUCUACCCCAUUUUGCAAAAUGCCAUUUGGCAUAACGGCCAUUUGGCAUAAUUUUAAAUAUUUAUUUAUUUAUUCGUCGUCAAUCAUAUGUAGACCAUUUGUUACAACUAUGUUUAAUUAACCUAACAUUAUUUUUUUAGUAACGAAUUACAUUCAAUUGUCUCUUAAGCUUAGCUUUCGACAUACCGAAGUCAAUGGACUCACAUUGUUCAUUAUAUAACCUCAUCAUUUGAUUUAUAGGUCCAAACAUGGCAUAAUUAGUACGAUAGUGAUUAGUAGAAAAAAUGCUGCGAUUCCGUAAUUGACGAGUAGGUGCAUAAAAAUUCAAUUUUGAUAAAAUUUCCUGUGAAUCAACUCGGUUGGAUACGACGUCAUUUAUAAAUGAAA